rnacentral:tRNA from 1 species
GGGGCUUUGGUCUAGUGGGUAUGAUUCUCGCUUUUGGGGGCGAGAGGUCCCAAGUUCGAUUCUCGGAAUGCCCC